rnacentral:lncRNA from 1 species
AGGUAUUUUAUAUAAAUAAUAAUAUAGGAAUAAAUCAUCAUCCAAAUUUGUAACAAACCAUCUUCUAAAUCCAAUCUAAACGAAUUACAAUCAUACAAACUAUUGAUCAAUUGUACAUUACUUGCAUCCAAAUAACAAUUGUCCAUUCAAAUUUUUUAAUUUUAUAUUACCCAAUGAUUUGAUCACAAUCAUGUAAGUACAUUCACAUGCAAAAAGAAAAUAUACAUCCACUUCUUUCUUCCUUCUCUCCUCCCUCCAUCUCCAAUAAGCCUUUGAUAAGUCUAAACAUAGAAAUUUAAUGCAUUAUAUUUGUUUCUUUUACAUGGUCUAUAAUUGUAUGCAAAGUAUGGGAGCAGCUUGAUAGGUAGGCACAUUUUAGCAUCCAAAACUGUCAACAAUCAUCCAAAUCUCUCUACUCUAUAUGACAAUCAUAAUAUGGAAGUAAUUGAAUGUUGCAUAUUUCUACUCUAAUACUACAAGAAAUUUCUUAGUAGUGGUCAUUUUUGUUUUGCUCCACACCUU